rnacentral:rRNA from 1 species
GAAACUGGGGACAAUUGCGGAUAAAGGCAUAUUUGCUGGUAUGCUUUAUUGUGUUAAAAGGAUUCGUAUGCCCCAAGGAUGGGUGUGUGGCCUAUUCAGGUACUAGUGGGGUGUAAUGUACCUACUAGCCAGCGACGGGUACGGGUUGUGAGAGCAAGAGCCCGAAGAUGGAUUCUGAGACAUGAAUCCAGGCCCUACGGGGUGCAGCAGGUGCGAAAACUUUACAAUGCGGGAAACCGUGAUAAGGGGACACCGAGCGCCAGCAUCAUUUGCUGGCUGUCCCGGAUGUGUAAAAUACAUCCGUUACCAAGGGCCGGGCAAGACCGGUGCCCGCCGCCGCGGUAACACCGGCGGCCCGAGUGGUGAUCGUGAUUAUUGGGUCUAAAGGGUCCGUAGCCGGUUUGGUCAGUCCUCCGGGAAAUGUGAUAGCUCAAUUAUUAGGCUUUCGGGGGAUACUGCCAGACUUGGAACCGGGAGAGGUAAGAGGUACUACAGGGGUAGGAGUGAAAUCUUGUAAUCCCUGUGGGACCACCUGUGGCGAAGGUGUCUUACCAGAACGGGUUCGACGGUGAGGGACGAAAGCUGGGGGCACGAACCGGAUUAGAUACCCGGGUAGUCCCAGCCGUAAACGAUGCUCGCUAGGUGUCAGGCAUGGCGCGACCGUGUCUGGUGCCGCAGGGAAGCCGUGAAGCGAGCCACCUGGGAAGUACGGCCGCAAGGCUGAAACUUAAAGGAAUUGGCGGGGGAGCACAACAACGGGUGGAGCCUGCGGUUUAAUUGGACUCAACGCCGGGAA